GCCGAAGUAGCUCAGUUGGUAGAGCAACUGAUUCGUAAUCAGUAGGUCG
rnacentral:tRNA from 1 species